rnacentral:rRNA from 1 species
UACGAAGGGGGCUAGCGUUGCUCGGAAUCACUUGGGCGUAAAGGGUGCGUAGGCGGGUCUUUAAGUCAGGGGUGAAAUCCUGGAGCUCAACUCCAGAACUGCCUUUGAUACUGAAGAUCUUGAGUUCGGGAGAGGUGAGUGGAACUGCGAGUGUAGAGGUGAAAUUCGUAGAUAUUCGCAAGAACACCAGUGGCGAAGGCGGCUCACUGGCCCGAUACUGACGCUGAGGCACGAAAGCGUGGGGAGCAAACAGG